AAAGUUGAUAAAUAACAGUAAAUAAUAAGAAGAAUUUCAAAAUCAUCAUGACACAAGUGCCAUCCAGAGAACUGGAAAUGGAGAGGAAGAUCCACAGCAGAUCCUUCCUCAACUUCAAUCAAGAAUUUUUUACCAGCUUCUGUGCCUGAAGAGAUUGGUUAAAACCAGGCAGAUCCAGUAGUCUCUCCCUUCAGCUCGUCAUGCCUGAGGCAAGCUGAGACAGCUGUGCACUUUCACCAGCAGGCAGAUGCUCAGCCACUUCCAGAAAAUCAGCUGUUUCUUGAGAAGACAGAAAACAUCACUCCAAACUCCAUUCCUCUGUCCUUAAUACAGGUUUUGUUGCUGGACACAACGUCAUAUGAUAUGGAAUAUCCCUUUGGCCAGUUUGGGUCAGCUGUCGUGGCUGCGUCUCCUCUCACCUUCUUGUGCAUCCCUGGCAGGGAAGCUCAAGAAGUGAAAGUCUUUGACUUACUGUAAGCACUGCUCUGUAACAACUAAAUGCAUUAUUUUGUUACCAACUCUAUUUUCAUCAAAAAUUGAAAAUACGUAAUCAUCUUGAUCUUCAACUAAGUGAUCAUUCUGGGUUCCUUCCUGUGAUACCUUGAUUCUAUACAAUCAUCUAUGCCAGGAAAACCUUGACAACUAUCUACGUGUUUAUCCUACCCCAAAACAGAAAGUGCUCUGUAGUGACCUCUCAGACAAGAGGUGGGAGUACACUCAUGUACUCCCAUAAGGGAUGAGCAGCCCAAGAGCAUUUUUUAAGCUCUCCUGCAUAGCAGCUGGCUGCACAACAAUUCCCCUUGAGUAGGAAUGCUUCUCAAGGUUACACCUGUGCAGAGAUCCCUUAUGCCUUGCUGGUAUGGAUCCUUGGUAAGUGACUAAUUUUUUGUUUUAGGCUUUGUUAGCCUCACUAAGAUCACAUAUUUGAUUGAUGUGUUUUUAACCCUACCCUGUAUGCAGUAAAUAAGUGUAUCCAGCCAUCUUGAAUCUUGUUAAGUCGCUGCUUUAGUUACAAUUAAGCUUUGUUAAAUAAUUAUACUGUACC
ensembl:lncRNA